GCGGUGGUAGUUCAGUGGUAGACUUCUUGCCUUUCAUGCGGAGACCCGGGUUCAAUUCCCAGCCAAUGCA
rnacentral:tRNA from 1 species